CUCUCUCUCUCUCAUUUAAAGGUCUCUCUCUCUCUCUAUAUAUAUAUAUAUAUAUAUAUAGAGAGAGAGAGAGACCUUUAAAUGAGAGAGAGAGAC